rnacentral:rRNA from 1 species
UACGUAGGGUGCGAGCGUUAAUCGGAUUUACUGGGCGUAAGCGUGCGCAGGCGGCCCGUUAAGACAGGUGUGAAAUCCCUGGGCUCAACCUAGGAAUUGCGCUUGUGACUGGCGGGCUCGAGUACGGUAGAGGGGGGUGGAAUUCCUGGUGUAGCAGUGAAAUGCGUAGAGAUCAGGAGGAACACCGAUGGCGAAGGCAGCCCCCUGGGCCUGUACUGACGCUCAUGCACGAAAGCGUGGGGAGCAAACAGG